UUGUUCUAUUUUUAGUUACAUGUAUUUUCCUGUGAUUAUUUUCCUUCAUUAUUGCUAUGCAUUGCGAACAUCCAAGAACAGUUAAUAUAUGAAAUAUAAAAGAUUAGAUUUUAAAAUGUUUCGAUAUGUUUUGUUGGUGUCAAUUGCACAAAUCAGUGUAUUGACAUUCCUGAUCGACACAACCCCCUUCCUCCUCAUAGGAAAAGAAGAUUUGAAUGGGUUAUGCAAUAUUCAUACAUCUUUAAUGUCAGCCAAUGAAACUACAUCUUUAAUGUCAGCCAAUGAAACUGGCGAGAUAUUAUGUCCGUCGUGUUUAAGACAAACAUAUCAAGAUGUUAUGUGUGAACAAUGCGAACAAGCGACUCAAAAUGCUCGAACAAAUUUUAUGCUUCAAGAAUUUUGUGCAGGCAGAGCUUACCAGUACAUAUUAAUGUUUGCUUGUCUUGUUGUUACUCUUAUCAACAGUAUUCCAUAUUUAACACCACGUGGAAAUAACGGACUAAUACCCAUGCGUUUUCAGUACACCGUGAAAGUUGUAGUGAAUGACAAGAAGAUUGGGACUAUGUGGAAUGUGUUGUGAUACUCGCAUGAUUAGUAGUACUGUUUUAAUAAUCGCUUGAUUACUAGUACUGUUAUAACAAUUAACAUCAUACGAGUAAAACAAAUAUAAUUAUACACUGUUAGAAUUCAGUUUUAUGACUCACAUUAUUUUAUUUUACUUUUAUUCCUAUUGCCUUUUUGUAUUAAAUUUUUAUUCUAA